UGUGGGAGCGGGCUUGCUCGCGAACGCGGUGUGUCAGGCAACUAAUUGGCUACUGAUGUACCGCAUUCGCGAGCAAGCCCGCUUCCACA
rnacentral:misc_RNA from 1 species